UUAGUACAGAUGGGGUUUCACCAUGCUGGCCAGGCUGACCUCAAACUCCUGACCUCAAGUAAUCUGCCCGCCUUAGCCUCCCAAAGUGCUGGGAUUACAGACAUGAGCCACUGCACCCGGCCUGGAGCACUUUCAGUAGUUACUACAUUUGUUUAAGGGAAACCCAGCCGAACCAGAGAAUAACCUAAUCAGCAGGUUUCAGAGGAAAUUAAAGUCGGAUCACUGCCUACCGCACCCCAUCCAGCUGCAACGAGACAUGCCUUAUCAAUGUUUCUUUUUUAAUGUUCAGACAUGUUACGUUAAGCCAGCUUAUGCAGGGAAAGAAUUUACUGAUUAGUUCCUGAUUUGCUCCAUAAUUGGUUAUGGCAAUGGCUUCCACUAUGCUAGCUAAAUAAAAAAUAAUUUUUAAAAAAAGCUUACAGGUAAUUUGUUGCAAGGCAUUUGACAAAGGUACAGGUCCCAUCACACAAGAAUCAUAGUUAAACUUAAUGAUGACUCCA
rnacentral:lncRNA from 10 species